GGCGGGGCGGCUGCUGUUCCCACGCGCGUUCUGCGCUGUGGAGCGGAGCGGUUGGGCUCGUCGGCAGAGAGCGGGGGGAGCAGCCUCAUCCCCGGUCCGUUCGUCAUGGCAUCGAUGCUCGGCCCCGCCGCGCUCCGUGAGGAACCCCCGGGCCCGUCCGCCGCCGGCAGUGUUGCGGCAGCCACGGCCCGGCCCAAGACCUGCAUCACUUCACAGCUGGACAGCCUGUCUGCUCAGCGUGAUGUAGCUGACAGGUAGAAGAAACGGCAGCAGACGUGGCUUGGUGGAAAGCGUUCCCAGCUGCUGUGGAGCCCCACGGGUGCAGCCCCCUCAAACGUGGAUGCCAUGCAGGCUCUGCUGCCCCCGGCCUAGCUCCUGUGGCCACCCCUGUGGGUCACUGCAGAACAAGGAGGUCCCAGCAGUCAGUGUAGCUUCUCCCCACCGGUUGUGAUCACAUCGUGCCUGCAGGCUGUCGUGAUCAGUCAGCACAGUAGCAAAAUAGUGCUGCUGACUCAGAGAGAGAUAAUGGAGAACAAACCUUUCCAUGCUCAUGUGAUGUGAAAAUCUCUACUGCGGUUUCCUGUUGAUCGAGGUGACUGGGAAUCAACCCCACAGUGGCCUUAGCAAGGGCCAGAGCUCUGAGCCCAGCCCAGGUGGACCUCGGCUUUCACAGCAGGACGGAGCUGCCUGACAGAAUGUGCUCCCUGUGACUCUGCUGACUUAUCCAGCCCUUAAGGGCUUCCCGGAACAGCAGCCUCACACAGCCCUGGUGCAGCACAGCACAGGAGGAGCAGCCCACAGGGAUCCCCCAGCCAAUGUCAGGGGGCCAAGAGGUGACAAUGUUGCACGUAUUGUUGCACUCUGAGCUUACAAAACACAGCUGUGACUGUCCCGUGCCACCAGCAUUGCUCUGUGUAAUAAAGAGCAUGGCAGGAUUGGGUGGAAGAAGCAACCCACUGAUAUUCCUGCCCUGCCACUGGAUACAAGUGCUACACACAAUGAUUGUAAGCAGCACAGAAACAGUGACAGCGAUAGCUCCUUUUAAUCAGCUCAGUGGGACAUCUUUCAUGUGGACGCCAUAGUUGUUGGCUGUGGCCGUGUCUCCUGCUGCACCACGUGGGCCGGGUUCUGCAGGCACUCCCACUUGUGCUGAGCCCACCCAGCCUCACCUAGCGCCGGCGUUUCAGUUCUGGAGCAUCCCAGCCCUGCGGCAGCUUUGUUUGGAUGCUGCCAGUCUGCUGCUCGUGCCCUGUGGUGGUGCAGGCGGGCACUGGGCACUCGGGCCUCUGUCUGCAUGGACGUCACCAAAUAGAGCGCUCAGUUCAAUAGUUGGUUGGUCUGAAACGUGUCCUGCUACGUUCUGUUCAGGUCCUGCGAGACAGGGAAAGCGGGACGAGGAAGAGAUUUGCUGCAGUUUUCUCAUGUUCUCAAGGCAAUGACAGGGGACAACGAAGUGCCUGGUGGGUAUAUUACUGUCUGUGCACCAGAAGACUUGGGAAACUGACGUUCCGUGUAGAGAUGCAGAAAAUUCUGAUGUCUUUGGAGAAGUAAAGCCUCUUGAGGAUGUCAUCCUCGUGGCAAGAGCAGAUCUUUACAGUCCCACUCUGCUACCUUCUUUCUCAAGAGAUCAAUGGAGAGCCUGUGGACGGGGCUGUGUUUGAGGAGGACAGCAGCUGCACACUGCCCAUCUCCCGUGAAGGCACAGAGGACGUGCAAGCAGCUGGUGCUCCAGGUAAAGGCCGUGCACAGAGCUCUGUGCCUGACCGUUACAGGUUCUGUUGUUGUGCUGCUAAUAACUGUGUGUUGCAUUUGCAUCUGGUGGUGGAGAAAGAAACAUCAGUGAGUUGCUCCCCCAUCCCCAUCCCACCACACUCUUUAUUCCAACGCUGCUCUGUGUGGUGCCGGGAGGAAGGAGAGUGGGGGGCUCUCCCAGUCCCUCAGCACUUCCUGUCUCUGCAGGCGCCUCACUGAAGCUGUCAAAACCCGGUAUGCUGCCUGCAAAUGCUCAUCACAUGCAGACACACAGCCCGAAACAAAGCAGCAGACAGACAGAAUUGGCACCAGCGGCCUCUACAUGUGCCAGCGCAUCCAGGGGGGUCGGCAUGGGCAGCUCUGGUGGUGUUCUGGGGGACAGCAGGAAAGGCCCGCAGGGCAGCAACUCUGAGAACUGCCCAGAGCAUGCUGGCUGCCUCCACAACAGGUCACUGCUUUCCCACAGCCACCCGGUGCGGACAGCCUGCCGCCCGCUGCGCAGCCCCCAAACUCACCUCCUGAUUCCAGCGCUGCGCUGCUGCAGCCGAGCGGAGCCGUGGCGGGAUGGGGGCACACGUUGGUGGGCGCUGGGUGCCGCUGCUCCUGGGUGUGCGCCACGGCAUCUGCAAAGGGCCCCGUCGCCUGCUCCCAGCUGGCGGGCAGGGUGCAGGGCCCGGGGAGCACCCGCAGCUGCACUGGAGGUGCUCGGAGGACUGUGGAGGGGCCGGGGCCGGGGCGGCCGGGGGCCUGCAGCGGGCAGCUGCCUGCGGGCUGCGGGGGCUUCCCACGGCACACGGCCCCGGGCCGCAGCCCCAUCGGCUGCUGGCGCUGCCGCUGCCACUUCCCUGCCAGCCGGGGAUGUUGCCAGCAGUGGGCAGGGGCAUUGGGGGGAGGCAUACCCGGCUUCAUCCCGCCGGGUAGGAGCUGGAGGAGGGGUAACUGCCUCUCCCCGGGUGGCAGAUGACCCACAAUUGUGUACAGCCCCUCAGGUGUGAGCUGAACCACAAUUGGGGGCACCUCCUGAGGUGGGAUCAGACCCACAGUUUCGGGCAUUGCCCCAGCUGGCAGCUGAACCACAGUUAGAGGCAUACCCCCAAGUGGCAGCUGCGCUCCCUGUCCCUGCACACCCGGUACCCCCGGCUGGACAGAGGCCUGAGGCACCAUGGAGGUGACAUUGGGGGCAGGGACGGACUGGAAGGAUACGGGCACUGCUCCGCCAAUGGUGGUCUGCAUCGCAGCAGUGGCCGGUGGGGGCACAAAGAUCCAAAUAAAGUUGCGUCGGGUGUCGGAAGCACCGUCAGCGAUGAAGGGAUUCUCUCUGUGGGGAAAUUCCCAAAUGGGCGCCGGGGUGAGAUGUGGGGCACUGGGACCCCCUGGAGGGCUGCAGUGCCAGGAGCAGGAGGAGCCUGCUGCCUUACCUGCCGUGGCAGCUCGAGAGUGGCAGUGGGGGAUUCCGUGAGCGCUGGACAUCCUCCCUGGCUGCCCCUCACGUUGCCUCCCAUGCAUGGGGGGGCUGCAUGAUGCCCUGCAGCCCCAUUGCCCCCAGGUAACACCAGCACUCCCCCCCCACCUUUAUGGCCUGGGAGCUGCCCCCUGGAGAACGAGCACAGCCUCUGCCUCCCAGUGAGUGCUCAGCAGGCCUGGCUGCUCCUGGGCACCUCCACUGCUUCCUCUGCACUCUUCUUCAGGGGAUUGCAAUGGCAGGGGGUUACCGUCCCACACCCGGACAACCCGUGCUGGAAUGUGCUGUGGCUUCCUGAAUUCUGUUGUAGUAAUAAAUAAGAACUGGUAGCCGAGUUGUGCAUAUGGUUUUGUUGUUAUGUCACUGCCAGACACUGCAGGUCUGAGGGAAGAUGAGGCCUCAGGGUGCAGUAGGAGUUCUCAUCUCCGUGUCUGAACGCACUGUGCCUGCGGUGUAUCACCACUGCCUUGCCAAAGUCUCGGCCUGAUCUGCC
rnacentral:lncRNA from 1 species